AUCGGUUUUGGAUGGACUCGCGGCCUAUCAGCUUGUUGGUGAGGUAAUGGCUCACCAAGGCGACGACGGGUAGCCGGCCUGAGAGGGUGACCGGCCACACUGGGACUGAGACACGGCCCAGACUCCUACGGGAGGCAGCAGUGGGGAAUAUUGCACAAUGGGCGAAAGCCUGAUGCAGCGACGCCGCGUGAGGGAUGACGGCCUUCGGGUUGUAAACCUCUUUCAGUAGGGAAGAAGCGAAAGUGACGGUACCUGCAGAAGAAGCACCGGCUAACUACGUGCCAGCAGCCGCGGUAAUACGUAGGGUGCGAGCGUUAUCCGGAAUUAUUGGGCGUAAAGAGCUCGUAGGCGGUUUGUCGCGUCUGUCGUGAAAGUCCGGGGCUUAACCCCGGAUCUGCGGUGGGUACGGGCAGACUAGAGUGCAGUAGGGGAGACUGGAAUUCCUGGUGUAGCGGUGGAAUGCGCAGAUAUCAGGAGGAACACCGAUGGCGAAGGCAGGUCUCUGGGCUGUAACUGACGCUGAGGAGCGAAAGCAUGGGGAGCGAACAGGAUUAGAUACCCUGGUAGUCCAUGCCGUAAACGUUGGGCACU
rnacentral:rRNA from 1 species